CCAUGUUGGCCCGCCCCGCGCUGCUCGCCGCUGUGAGCCCGAGGGCGGCCUGGGCUCUUGGAGGUUUGUCUCCUGCGUGGGUUGUUUUGUCCCGGAGUGGUACGUUGUAGAUGAGAGGCUCAUAGAAAUGCCCCCGAGCCAACGUGCUAACAGGGGCUUCAGUGCAGUGUUACACCCACCGAUACAGAGCUGGGGCUAACAUCAUGAAAAACCAGUGCAGAUGCGAACUUCCACAUUUUUUCAAGAUAGAAGCAAACAAUGACAUAAGCAUAUGAUGAAAUGUGUUCUCAAAGAAUGAACAUAUAGAAAGACUUCUGGGAUUCACACAGACUGCACUGUUAGCCAUCUGGAAGGGGAUGUGCACAAGAACAGUUACCAGCACUGCGCUCAAAGAAAGGCAAAGAAGCAGACCUGCUUGAGGACAGCUGCAGCUUUUGCAGUCCUUGCAUUCCAUCAAGGAUGUGAGUAGCUUUCAUUCCUGCAGCAGUGGCAUUCUGCUAUGUGCUACUGGCAGAUUUACCUAAGUAAGGCUGCAGAACUGAGCCAGGGUUUUUAUCAUGCAUGUUUUAUUUUACUUAACUUUUUCAGGACAUGUAAGUCUAUCUCCUUUGAAUAAUCCAUAAAGACUUCAAAUAGGCUGUGUGACCUAAUCUGCUGAAUGAUCUUAUUCUUUGUCAGAUGUUAAAUAUUAUCCAAAGUGAAUGAAAUGAGAUAGUUUGAAGUUCUGAAAAGAUGUCUCUGGAAUGUAUGAACAUAUUUGUUUCAUCUUCCACAUGUAAGCCAAAUAAAGAGCCCAUUAUGAUGUAUUCCA